ACAGCAAGAGCCCCAGGACUGUGCUGAUUGCACUGUCCUGACAACCGGGAUAGAAACCACUAAGCUUUGCUGCUACUCAACCAGGUGACCUUGGAUGACCCCUGUAGCCUGCCUGGACCUCUUUGUCUACAGGGAGUGUAUGCAGAGUGCACAUUGAACCCAGACCACUGUCCUUUGAUCCAAACCUUCAAGAUCCUGGAUGGGGCACUGCUAGGGCCCUCAGACCUGCAGCCCAGUGGGACUCCUCACUGCUCUCACCUCCUCACCAUGUGAUUUGAUCUGCCCAGGCUUCCCACCCAGGAGCCUAUUCAUAUCAUGGCAGUGAAUGGUAGACACACGUUCAUGAACACAGGUGGAUGUGAGGAGAGAUGAUGUUCACAAUGACAUGGGGAAUCCUGAGCUGCUGGGAGAGAAGACUGAGAGCCGAAUGCUGGAACAAUGCCCGGCUUCUCAGGGAGCUGGAGGAAGGAUGGAGGAGUGAGAGAUGUGAAGGUCCUGAGCAAUGGAGCGGUCACACAGGUGUGAAGAAGAGAAUGUCUCUCCGGAGAUUUGUGGAGUUGAAGGUGUCCUCAUCAGGUGCAAGAACCUAAACCGAUGUCUCUGCUUCCUGCUGGCUGUGACCUCCCAGAGGUACCAAACAGGGUCUUAUUAUUAUGUCUCCAGGGCUACAGGCUCUUAUUAUUAUGUCCUCAUGGCUUCAGGGCAUAAGUCAGAUAUCCAAGCCUACAUAACGACUUACUUAUUUCAAGGUAUGGUUGACCACAUGAGGAAAUCAGAAGCAAACAUAGUUCAUUGUGCUGAAUGCUCACUGCCUGCCUAGCUGUGCUGUGUGUGAGAUAGCAUUUCUUCAGCUGGGACUUCAGAGGCCGAGGAGGGACCGUACUGAAGCCAUGAACUAUAGAAUGGAAUGAGCAACAGCAAGAAGCUGGGGACACGGCUCAGCUGGCAGGAUGCUUGCCUAGCGUGUGCAAAGCCCAGAGUGGGAUCCCAGGUACUGAAUAAACUGCCUUCCAUCCCAGCACUGGGGAGGGAAAGGUGGGGGGUCAGAGAAGCUCAAAGUCGUUAGCGAACUCUUAGGGAGGCCAGUCUGGGUAUGGGAUCCUGUCUCAAGAGCAAAGCUGAAGCAGUGAAGUAAGACCAGGGGAUAG